rnacentral:rRNA from 1 species
GAUGAACGCUGGCGGCGUGCCUAAUACAUGCAAGUCGAACGAGGUGCUUUUGUAGCAAUACGAGAGUAUCCUAGUGGCGAACGGGUGAGUAACGCGUUGGUGACCUACCCCAAAGUGUGGAAUAACAGUCCGAAAGGAUUGCUAAUACCGCAUGUGGUUAUCGGGUUUAGAAACUGAUAACUAAAGGAGCAAUUCGCUUUGGGAGGGACCUGCGUCCCAUCAGCUAGUUGGUGAGGUAAUGGCUCACCAAGGCUACGACGGGUAGGGGACCUGAGAGGGUGACCCCCCACAAUGGAACUGAAACACGGUCCAUACACCUACGGGUGACAGCAGUAGGGAAUAUUGCACAAUGGGCGAAAGCCUGAUGCAACAACGCCGCGUGCACGAUGAAGGCCUUCGGGUCGUAAAGUGCUUUUCUGGGAGAUGAGAAAGGACAGUAUCCCAGGAAUAAGUCUCGGCUAACUACGUG